UUUCCGUAGGUGAACCUGCGGAGGGAUCAUUAUUGUAUAAACAAGUUCCGAACGCUUGCGCUCACCCGAAUUGUCGUGCACGCCCGAGUGCCCUCACCCGCAUCCAUCUCACCGCUAUCUGCACCACCGCUUAAGUCCGCCUCUGUCUGUAUCGUAUGAGGACUUACGUUUUCACACAAAAUUUUUAUACAAUGGAGAAUUUAUUUUUGGUUUUUACGAACAACCAAUCAAAACAACUUACAACAACGGAGCUCUUCGCUCUCACGUCGGUGAAGAACG
rnacentral:misc_RNA from 1 species